rnacentral:RNase_P_RNA from 20 species
GAAGCACGCCAGACCGCCGCUGGUGCAAUCGUGGAAACACGGCACUGGAGGAACGUCCGGACUGCACAGGGCAGCGUAGCAGCUAACGGCUGUCCACCGUGAGGUGAGGAUCAGAGCAACAGAGACGAGUCGGGGACAUGUGCCGCCAACUUGGUGUUCUAUGGGGUGCCAGCGCAAGCUGGCGACGGAUGGCGCAAGCCAGACGCCCAGGCGAAAGCCUGGGCCCCAUAGCCACCCGGGGACGCGGAACGCGUCCCCGGGUGAAACGGGCAAUCUCUACGCGCAGCAAUACCAAGUAGGCACACGUUGACGGGGCCCCCGGAGUGUGCGGGUAGGUAGCACCGAGCCGGGCGGCGACGCCCGGCCCAGAUUAAUGGCGGUCACAUGCGGGCAACCGCGUGCACAGAAUCCGGCUUAUCGGCGCGCUUCACAC